AGGCCUAACACAUGCAAGUCGAACGCCCUAGCAAUAGGGAGUGGCGCACGGGUGCGUAACGCGUGGGAAUAUGCCCUUCACUGCGGAAUAACGUUUGGAAACGAACGCUAAUACCGCAUAAUGACUCCGGUCCAAAGAUUUAUCGGCGAAGGAUCGGCCCGCGUUGGAUUAGCUAGUUGGCGGUGUAAUGGACCACCAAGGCUACGAUCCAUAGCUGGUCUGAGAGGACGACCAGCCACACUGGGACUGAGACACGGCCCAGACUCCUACGGGAGGCAGCAGUGGGGGAAUCUUGGACAAUGGGCGCAAGCCUGAUCCAGCCAUGCCGCGUGAGUGAAGAAGGCCUUAGGGUUGUAAAACUCUUUCGCCGGUGAAGAUAAUGACGGUAACCGGAGAAGAAGCCCCGGCUAACUUCGUG
rnacentral:rRNA from 1 species